rnacentral:rRNA from 1 species
UGAUACUGGCAAGCCUGAGUCUCGUAGAGGGGGGUAGAAUUCCAGGUGUAGCGGUGAAUUGCGUAGAGAUCUGGAGGAAUACCGGUGGCGAAGGCGGCCCCCUGGACGAAGACUGACGCUCAGGUGCGAAAGCGUGUGGAGCAAACAGGAUUAGAUACCCUGGUAGUCCMCGCCGUAAACGAUGUCGACUUGGAGGUUGUGCCCUUGAGGCGUGGCUUCCGGAGCUAACGCGUUAAGUCGACCGCCUGGGGAGUACGGCCGCAAGGUUAAAACUCAAAUGAAUUGACGGGGGCCCGCACAAGCGGUGGAGCAUGUGGUUUAAUUCGAUGCAACGCGAAGAACCUUACCUGGUCUUGACAUCCACAGAACUUUCCAGAGAUGGAUUGGUGCCUUCGGGAACUGUGAGACAGGUGCUGCAUGGCUGUCGUCAGCUCGUGUUGUGAAAUGUUGGGUUAAGUCCCGCAACGAGCGCAACCCUUAUCCUUUGUUGCCAGCGGUCCGGCCGGGAACUCAAAGGAGACUGCCAGUGAUAAACUGGAGGAAGGUGGGGAUGACGUCAAGUCAUCAUGGCCCUUACGACCAGGGCUACACACGUGCUACAAUGGCGCAUACAAAGAGAAGCGACCUCGCGAGAGCAAGCGGACCUCAUAAACUGCGUCGUAGUCCGGAUUGGAGUCUGCAACUCGACUCCAUGAAGUCGGAAUCGCUAGUAAUCGUGGAUCAGAAUGCCACGGUGAAUACGUUCCCGGGCCUUGUACACACCCGCCCGUCACAUCCAUGGGAUGUGGGUUGCAAAAGAA